CCGUCGAUAGCUCAGUUGGUAGAGCGGAGGACUGUAGAUCCUUAGGUCACUGGUUCGAAUCCGGUUGGACGGA
rnacentral:tRNA from 1 species